rnacentral:rRNA from 1 species
CGUAGGGUGCGAGCGUUAAUCGGAAUUACUGGGCGUAAAGCGUGCGCAGGCGGUUUUGUAAGACAGGCGUGAAAUCCCCGGGCUCAACCUGGGAACUGCGCUUGCGACUGCAAGGCUAGAGUACGGCAGAGGGGGGUGGAAUUCCACGUGUAGCAGUGAAAUGCGUAGAGAUGUGGAGGAACACCAAUGGCGAAGGCAGCCCCCUGGGUCGAUACUGACGCUCAUGCACGAAAGCGUGGGUAGCAAACAGGAUUAGAUACCCUGGUAGUCCACGCCCUAAACGAUGUCAACUAGGUGUUGGGUGGGUAAAACCAUUUAGUACCGGAGCUAACGCGUGAAGUUGACCGCCUGGGGAGUACGGCCGCAAGGUUA